rnacentral:rRNA from 1 species
GACGAACGCUGGCGGCGUGCUUAACACAUGCAAGUCGAACGGAAAGGCCCUGCUUUUGUGGGGUGCUCGAGUGGCGAACGGGUGAGUAACACGUGAGUAACCUGCCCUUGACUUUGGGAUAACUUCAGGAAACUGGGGCUAAUACCGGAUAGGAGCUCCUGCUGCAUGGUGGGGGUUGGAAAGUUUCGGCGGUUGGGGAUGGACUCGCGGCUUAUCAGCUUGUUGGUGGGGUAGUGGCUUACCAAGGCUUUGACGGGUAGCCGGCCUGAGAGGGUGACCGGCCACAUUGGGACUGAGAUACGGCCCAGACUCCUACGGGAGGCAGCAGUGGGGAAUAGUGCACAAUGGGCGGAAGCCUGAUGCAGCAACGCCGCGUGCGGGAUGACGGCCUUCGGGUUGUAAACCGCUUUCGCCUGUGACGAAGCGUGAGUGACGGUAAUGGGUAAAGAAGAACCGGAUAACUACGUG